UAAACAUCAAAAUAGGUUAUGAUUUUACAAAUUAAGCACCAAAACAUCAUGUUUUACAACAAAUUUGACAGAAAAAGUACAGUAGAGUCUCACUUAUCCAACACAAACGGGCCGACAGAACGUUGGAUAAGCGAAUAUGUUGGAUAAUGAGGAGGGAUUAAGGAAAAGCCUAUUAAACAUCAAAAUAGGUUAUGAUUUUACAAAUUAAGCCCCAAAACAUCACGUUUUACAACAAAUUUGACAGAAAAAGUACAGUAGAGUCUCACUUAUCCAACACAAACAGGCCGGCAGAACGUUGGAUAAGCGAAUAUGUUGGAUAAUGAGGAGGGAUUAAGGAAAAGCCUAUUAAACAUCAAAAUAGGUUAUGAUUUUACAAAUGAAGCCCCAAAACAUCAUGUUUUACAACAAAUUUGACAGAAAAAGUACAGUAGAGUCUCACUUAUCCAACACAAACGGGCCGACGGAACGUUGGAUAAGCGAAUAUGUUGGAUAAUGAGGAGAGAUUAAGAAAAAACCUAUUAAACAUCAAAAUAGGUUAUGAUUUUACAAAUUAAGCCCCAAAGCAUCAUGUUUUACAACAAAUUUGACAGAAAAAGUACAGUAGAGUCUCACUUAUCCAACAUAAACGGGCUGGCAGAACGUUGGAUAAGCGAAUAUGUUGGAUAAUGAGGAGGGAUUAAGGAAAAGCCUAUUAAACAUCAAAAUAGGUUAUGAUUUUACAAAUUAAGCCCCAAAACAUCACGUUUUACAACAAAUUUGACAGAAAAAGUACAGUAGAGUCUCACUUAUCCAACACAAACAGGCCGGCAGAACGUUGGAUAAGCGAAUAUGUUGGAUAAUGAGGAGGGAUUAAGGAAAAGCCUAUUAAACAUCAAAAUAGGUUAUGAUUUUACAAAUGAAGCCCCAAAACAUCAUGUUUUACAACAAAUUUGACAGAAAAAGUACAGUAGAGUCUCACUUAUCCAACACAAACGGGCCGACGGAACGUUGGAUAAGCGAAUAUGUUGGAUAAUGAGGAGAGAUUAAGAAAAAACCUAUUAAACAUCAAAAUAGGUUAUGAUUUUACAAAUUAAGCCCCAAAACAUCACGUUUUACAACAAAUUUGACAGAAAAAGUACAGUAGAGUCUCACUUAUCCAACACAAACGGGCCGACGGAACGUUGGAUAAGCGAAUAUGUUGGAUAAUGAGGAGGGAUUAAGGAAAAGCCUAUUAAACAUCAAAAUAGGUUAUGAUUUUACAAAUUAAGCCCCAAAGCAUCAUGUUUUACAACAAAUUUGACAGAAAAAGUACAGUAGAGUCUCACUUAUCCAACACAAACGGGCCGACAGAACGUUGGAUAAGCGAAUAUGUUGGAUAAUGAGGAGAGAUUAAGGAAAAGCCUAUUAAACAUCAAAAUAGGUUAUGAUUUUACAAAUUAAGCCCCAAAACAUCACGUUUUACAACAAAUUUGACAGAAAAAGUACAGUAGAGUCUCACUUAUCCAACAUAAACGGGCUGGCAGAACGUUGGAUAAGCGAAUAUGUUGGAUAAUGAGGAGGGAUUAAGGAAAAGCCUAUUAAACAUCAAAAUAGGUUAUGAUUUUACAAAUUAAGCCCCAAAACAUCACGUUUUACAACAAAUUUGACAGAAAAAGUACAGUAGAGUCUCACUUAUCCAACAUAAACGGGCUGGCAGAACGUUGGAUAAGCGAAUAUGUUGGAUAAUGAGGAGGGAUUAAGGAAAAGCCUAUUAAACAGCAAAAUAGGUUAUGAUUUUACAAAUUAAGCCCCAAAACAUCACGUUUUACAACAAAUUUGACAGAAAAAGCAGUUCAAUACGCAGUAAUGUUAUGUUGUCAUUACUUUAUGAAUUUAGCACCAAAAUAUCACGAUAUAUUGAAAACGUUGACUAUAAAAAUGUGUUGGAUAAUCCAGAACGUUGGAUAAGUGAGACUACUGUAUCUAGUUUAGAUGACAACGGAGUGCGCAUGCGUCGAGCCGCUCCCUGCUUUCCCGCCCAAAUGGGCGAAGCCCUCUCUGAGCCUGUGACGUGCGGGAGAAUCGUCCAAUCGGGCGGCGGCAGAGGGAGGAGGGGUGGGACCAUGGCCGAAAAGGCGGCCGUGGUGGAGGCGGGGCUUCUUCUUGGCGCCUCAGCCGUGAAUUUACCUCAGGAAACGGGGCCUCGUUUGGCGCCCAGUUGAAGAGUUGAAAGAGGAGAGAGACGCCUUUCCUUUGGGGAGUCACUUUUACCUCAGGAAAGGCUUUUCUUCCCGUCCAGAGGACCCUCUCUCUCCCACUCGGUUUUAGAAAUUUCUUUAUCAAACCUUUACCUCAGAAAAGCCUUGUGAAAUAGAAAGAAGAAAAUGCCAAUUUUAUUUAUUAAGAGAUGGUCACCUCAGACUUUACCUCAGAAAUGGCCAAGCCUUGUGAAACGGAAGGGAGAAACAAAGGCAAAACUUUUGAAAAUUAGCACAGCUUUUUCUGAAGGGACCAGAAAUUUCUUUAUCGAACCUUUACCUCAGAAAAGCCUUGUGAAAUAGAAAGAAGAAAAUGCCAAUUUUAUUUAUUAAGAGAUGGUCAUCUCAGACUUUACCUCAGAAAUGGCCAAGCCUUGUGAAACGGAAGGGAGAAACAAAGGCAAAACUUUUGAAAAUUAGCACAGCUUUUUCUGAAGGGACCAGCGCUGAAUUCAAGUCAAAGGGAAGAAAGGGAAGAAACAAAAGGUCGAAGAGACAGAAGACAGAAGAUGCUUGAAGACACUCUCGCAAGGACACCGCCCGCCCCCCAAAAAAGGUCAUUGUCAGGGUAAUGGGUGUCAGGCUAGGCAUUUCAUGUCUAUCUUUGCAAUAAAAAACAGGCUACCUGUGUGCUAGGCUUUUGCAUGAAGAACACGGUUCCCCUCGUGUGUGGCAUCGAAGGUUCCCACUCGGGAACGGACGGGUCCUCCCUUUGUUCUAGGCAGAUGAUGGGGGUUUUCCUAUACAAGCCGUAGGGGCCACAGCUUGGGGGGCAGCGGGGGGCCCGGCCCUGGCACCGCGGGGAGCAGCACACCUUACGGGCAUUUUAAAAGCUCCCUUAAACUUAGACAGUGGCUAGCAAUAAAAAUAUUAAUACCUUAACUCACCUACUAACCCUACUAACACCAUUCUAACUAGGGCAGGCUGGCCUUUUAAAUAGGACUGUGUUUUGCCUGCUGGCAAGAACCAAGCUGGGAGGGAAGGGGGCCUCCUGGCCCCCCAUAGAAGGGCUCCCCUAGAAGGACAUUCAAAAGGCCCGCAAGGUGUCCUGAGAGCAGCCCCUGGGGCCCUCAGUGUGCCCCCCACGGUGCCAGGGCUGGGCCCCCCGCUCUCCCCCAACCCAUGACCCCUGCCGCCUGUAUCUCGUCCGCCCAGGGCCAACGGACGCCCCCUCCCUCCCCGGGCGGAGCUUCGGCGCCACACACAAGGGGAGGCCAGCCGUGGCCGCCAGAACAUGGCCAACCUGGUUUUGGACUGCAAACAUAGGCAUGUAGGGACCCCCUUUUAUUUAUGUAAGGCCACCCACCCAGGGGACCUGGUUAAAGGGGAUCCUCUAUUCUUAAAGUAAGGCCUAUAGAGAUCUCCUAUCCAGAAACUAAGGCGGCUUGGCCUAUAGAGAUCCCCUUUUGUUAAACUAAGGUGGCCUGGCCUAUAGAGAUCUCUUGUUGUUAAACUAAGGUGGCCUGGCCUAUAGAGAUCUCUUGUUGUUAAACUAAGGUGGCCUGGCCUAUAGAGAUCUCUUGUUGUUAAACUAAGGUGGCCUGGCCUAUAGGGAUCUCUUGUUGUUAAACUAAGGUGGCCUGGCCUAUAGGGAUCCCCUUUUGUUAAACUAAGGUGGCCUGGCCUAUAGAGAUCCCCUUUUGUUAAACUAAGGUGGCCUGGCCUAUAGAGAUCCCCUUUUGUUAAACUAAGGUGGCCUGGCCUAUAGAGAUCCCCUUUUGUUAAACUAAGGUGGCCUGGCCUAUAGAGAUCCCCUUUUGUUAAACUAAGGUGGCCUGGCCUAUAGAGAUCUCUUGUUGUUAAACUAAGGUGGCCUGGCCUAUAGAGAUCUCUUGUUGUUAAACUAAGGUGGCCUGGCCUAUAGAGAUCUCUUGUUGUUAAACUAAGGUGGCCUGGCCUAUAGAGAUCUCUUGUUGUUAAACUAAGGUGGCCUGGCCUAUAGAGAUCUCUUGUUGUUAAACUAAGGUGGCCUGGCCUAUAGAGAUCUCCUAUUCUUUAAGGUAACGCCAGGCGAUGUGGAGAUCCCUGGUUCUUUUAACCCUUAAGGCCAACCGUGGGGAGAUCCCUGGUUCUUUUAACCCUUAAGGCCAACCGUGGGGAGAUCCCUGGUUCUUUUAACCCUUAAGGCCAACCGUGGGGAGAUCCC